GGAGGAAAGCAGGGGAUCGAAAGACCUUAUGCUUUUGGAGCGGCCGAUGUCUGAUUAGCUAGUUGGUAAGGUAAUGGCUUACCAAGGCAACGAUCAGUAGUUGGUCUGAGAGGACGACCAGCCACACUGGGACUGAGACACGGCCCAGACUCCUACGGGAGGCAGCAGUGGGGAAUUUUGGACAAUGGGCGCAAGCCUGAUCCAGCAAUGCCGCGUGAGUGAAGAAGGCCUUCGGGUUGUAAAGCUCUUUCAGUUGAGAAGAAAAGAUUGUGACUAAUAAUUGCAAUUCAUGACGGUAUCAACAGAAGAAGCACCGGCUAACUACGUGCCAGCAGCCGCGGUAAUACGUAGGGUGCGAGCGUUAAUCGGAAUUACUGGGCGU
rnacentral:rRNA from 1 species